UAUCUGUCUCUUUAUAUUUUUUUGUAAAUUACUCAUGAAGUGAAAAUUCUUUAAUCUAUAUACAAAAGACGAGAAGACCCUUAGAAUUAAAAUGAAAAAGCUUUUUACUUUUUAUUUUCGUUGGGGCAACGACGGUUUAAAUUUUUAAAAACCAUUCUAUAGCGUAAACAUGCCGAACGUGUUAUGUAAGAUUUAAUUACCUAAGGGAUAACAGCAUAAUUUUUUUAAAGAUUGUGACCUCGAUGUUGGACUAG
rnacentral:rRNA from 1 species